rnacentral:rRNA from 1 species
GUGGGGAAUCUUGCGCAAUGGGCGAAAGCCUGACGCAGCCAUGCCGCGUGAAUGAUGAAGGUCUUAGGAUUGUAAAAUUCUCUCACCGGGGACGAUAAUGACGGUACCCGGAGAAGAAGCUCCGGCUAACUUCGUGCCAGCAGCCGCGGUAAUACGAAGGGGGCUAGCGUUGCUCGGAAUUACUGGGCGGAACGGGCGCGUAGGCGGACAGCUUAGUCAGAGGUGAAAGCCCAGGGCUCAACCUUGGAAUUGCCUUUGAUACUGGCUGUCUUGAGUUUGGGAGAGGUGAGUGGAACUCCGAGUGUAGAGGUGAAAGUCGUAGAUAGUCGGAAGAACACCAGUGGCGAAGGCGACUCACUGGCCCAAUACUGACGCUGAGGCGCGAAAGCGUGGGGAGCAAACAGGAUUAGAUACCCCAGUAGUCC